rnacentral:tRNA from 1 species
GGUGGCUCAGUGGUAGAGUGCUUGCCUUGCAUGCAUGAGGCCUUGGGUUUGAUUCCUCAGAACCA